CAGACUCUCAAAUCCUCAUCCUGCAGAGAUAGAUUGUACAAGCUGCACAGCUCUGGCCCACCUUCAUUCCUUUCCAAGAGUUGGGCACAAGAAGUUCUCAGAUGGAGAGACACAGACUUUAAAGGUGGAAGAGCACAGAACACACUGUGCCAACCAUUUCUCAUGGGUAAAGAAAAGGAGUCACUCAGAGAAGGCCUACAAAUCAGAGCCCUGGACUGCAUCUGUGUAUAAGUGGCAUGAGGAAGUUAAGCAUGGGGUCAAGAAGAAAGUUCUAGCCAUGCUUCUGUUGUCCAGCUCUUUGGGGGAGAGCAGAAGUGCUUUCUAAUCAGAGAAGAGUGGGAGCCAAGCCCAGCCACAGGACCUGCUCUGCUCUCAAAAACAGUAGAAUACCUGAAGGCCAUGCUGUUGUCCUGAGCCACCAUCUCAUCUCUUCCAAGCCAGAAGAGGCCCCCAAGAGAUACACAGAAGCUUCAUCCUGGAACAGUCCUUUAUGAAGGCAGCAGCUGACAGGUGUUCUCACAUGGGCAGGAAAGACCGACCCAACAGACAAUCCAGGAAAUGUCAGCAUUUCAUCUACCAACUUGAAUAAACAUUUCAACAACUAACUAAA